GAUGAAGAACGUAGCGAAAUGCGAUAAGUAAUGUGAAUUGCAGAAUUCAGUGAAUCAUCGAAUCUUUGAACGCACAUUGCGACCCUUGGUAUUCCAUGGGGCAUGCCUGUUCGAGCGUCAUUUGUACCUUCAAGCUUUGCUUGGUGUUGGGUGUUUGUCUCGCCUUUGCGUGUAGACUCGCCUUAAAAUAAUUGGCAGCCGGCGUAUUGAUUUCGGAGCGCAGUACAUCUCGCGCUUUGCACUCAUAACGACAGCGUCCAAAAGUACAUUUUACACUCUUGACCUCGGAUCAGGUAGGGAUACCCGCUGAACUUAAGCAUAUCAAUAAGCGGAGGA
rnacentral:misc_RNA from 1 species